UGCAGUUGAGCGCUGAAGGUUGGUACUUGUACCAACUGGAUGAGCAGCGAACGGGUGAGCAACGCGUGGGGAAUCUGCCUUUGAGCGGGGGACAACAUUUGGAAACGAAUGCUAAUACCGCAUAAAAACUUUAAACACAAGUUUUAAGUUUGAAAGAUGCAAUUGCAUCACUCAAAGAUGAUCCCGCGUUGUAUUAGCUAGUUGGUGAGGUAAAGGCUCACCAAGGCGAUGAUACAUAGCCGACCUGAGAGGGUGAUCGGCCACAUUGGGACUGAGACACGGCCCAAACUCCUACGGGAGGCAGCAGUAGGGAAUCUUCGGCAAUGGACGAAAGUCUGACCGAGCAACGCCGCGUGAGUGAAGAAGGUUUUCGGAUCGUAAAACUCUGUUGGUAGAGAAGAACGUUGGUGAGAGUGGAAAGCUCAUCAAGUGACGGUAACUACCCAGAAAGGGACGGCUAACUACGUGCCAGCAGCCGCGGUAAUACGUAGGUCCCGAGCGUUGUCCGGAUUUAUUGGGCGUAAAGCGAGCGCAGGUGGUUUAUUAAGUCUGGUGUAAAAGGCAGUGGCUCAACCAUUGUAUGCAUUGGAAACUGGUAGACUUGAGUGCAGGAGAGGAGAGUGGAAUUCCAUGUGUAGCGGUGAAAUGCGUAGAUAUAUGGAGGAACACCGGUGGCGAAAGCGGCUCUCUGGCCUGUAACUGACACUGAGGCUCGAAAGCGUGGGGAGCAAACAGGAUUAGAUACCCUGGUAGUCCACGCCGUAAACGAUGAGUGCUAGAUGUAGGGAGCUAUAAGUUCUCUGUAUCGCAGCUAACGCAAUAAGCACUCCGCCUGGGGAGUACGACCGCAAGGUUGAAACUCAAAGGAAUUGACGGGGGCCCGCACAAGCGGCGGAGCAUGUGGUUUAAUUCGAAGCAACGCGAAGAACCUUACCAGGUCUUGACAUACUCGUGCUAUUCCUAGAGAUAGGAAGUUUCUUCGGGACACGGGAUACAGGUGGUGCAUGGUUGUCGUCAGCUCGUGUCGUGAGAUGUUGGGUUAAGUCCCGCAACGAGCGCAACCCCUAUUGUUAGUUGCCAUCAUUAAGUUGGGCACUCUAACGAGACUGCCGGUGAUAAACCGGAGGAAGGUGGGGAUGACGUCAAAUCAUCAUGCCCCUUAUGACCUGGGCUACACACGUGCUACAAUGGAUGGUACAACGAGUCGCGAGACAGUGAUGUUUAGCUAAUCUCUUAAAACCAUUCUCAGUUCGGAUUGUAGGCUGUAACUCGCCUACAUGAAGUCGGAAUCGCUAGUAAUCGCGGAUCAGCACGCCGCGGUGAAUACGUUCCCGGGCCUUGUACACACCGCCCGUCACACCACGGGAGUUGGGAGUACCCGAAGUAGGUUGCCUAACCGCAAGGAGGGCGC
rnacentral:rRNA from 1 species